rfam:Phycisphaerae bacterium ST-NAGAB-D1, complete genome.
UGAGUGGGCCGAGCAGUCGCCGGCUGAGAUAUGCCGGAGGAAAGUCCGAGCAGGACAGGGCACGGUGGUGGCUAACGGCCACCCGGGGUGACCCGCGGGAAAGUGCCGCAGAAAAGAUACGGCCUAUGGAUCGGUUCGCCGGUCCAGGUAAAGGUGAAAUGGUGCGGUAAGAGCGCACCGCGACGGCGGUGACGUCGUCGGCAGGGCAAACCCCACCGCCUGCAAGACCAAGCAGUUGUCAGGUCGGCCCGGCCGAUGGCAACGGGUAGGUCGCUUCCUUUCGGGGAGAGCCGGCUGGUAACGGUCGGUCAAGUUAAAUGACUGCUGCCCGGUGAGAAUCGGGAACAGAACUCGGCUUACAGGCCCACUCGUUUU